GCCUGGGUGGCUCAGUGGUUGAGUAUCUGCCUUUGACUCAGAGAAUGAUCCCAGGAUCUGGGAUCGAGUCCCACAUCGGGCU
rfam:Canis lupus familiaris chromosome 28, whole genome shotgun sequence.